rnacentral:rRNA from 1 species
UGGGGAAUUUUGGACAAUGGGCGAAAGCCUGAUCCAGCAAUGCCGCGUGUGUGAAGAAGGCCUUCGGGUUGUAAAGCACUUUUGUCCGGAAAGAAAUCCUUGGCUCUAAUACAGUCGGGGGAUGACGGUACCGGAAGAAUAAGCACCGGCUAACUACGUGCCAGCAGCCGCGGUAAUACGUAGGGUGCAAGCGUUAAUCGGAAUUACUGGGCGUAAAGCGUGCGCAGGCGGUUUGCUAAGACCGAUGUGAAAUCCCCGGGCUCAACCUGGGAACUGCAUUGGUGACUGGCAGGCUAGAGUAUGGCAGAGGGGGGUAGAAUUCCACGUGUAGCAGUGAAAUGCGUAGAGAUGUGGAGGAAUACCGAUGGCGAAGGCAGCCCCCUGGGCCAAUACUGACGCUCAUGCACGAAAAGCGUGGGGAGCAAAACAGGAUUAGAUACCCUGGUAGUCCACGCCCUAAAACGAUGUCAACUAGUUGUUGGGGGAUUCAUUUCCUUAGUAACGUAGCUAACGCGUGAAGUUGACCGCCUGGGGAGUACGGUCGCAAGAUUAAAACUUAAAUGAAUUGACGGGGUCAUAGCUGUUUCCU